rnacentral:rRNA from 1 species
UACGGAGGGUGCGAGCGUUGUCCGGAAUUAUUGGGCGUAAAGGGCGCGUAGGCGGCCUUGUAAGUCAAAGGUGAAAUCCCUCGGCUCAACUGAGGAACUGCCUUUGAAACUGCAAGGCUUGAGUCCGGGAGAGGGAUGCGGAAUUCCAGGUGUAGCGGUGAAAUGCGUAGAUAUCUGGAGGAACACCGGUGGCGAAGGCGGCAUCCUGGACCGGCAUUGACGCUGAGGAGCGAAAGCCAGGGGAGCAAACGGG